GGGGCUGAUUCUGGAUUCGACGGGAUUUGCGAAACCCAAGGUGCAUGCCGAGGGGCGGUUGGCCUCGUAAAAAGCCGCAAAAAAAUAGUCGCAAACGACGAAAACUACGCUUUAGCAGCUUAAUAACCUGCUUAGAGCCCUCUCUCCCUAGCCUCCGCUCUUAGGACGGGGAUCAAGAGAGGUCAAACCCAAAAGAGAUCGCGCGGAUGCCCUGCCUGGGGUUGAAGCGUUAAAACGAAUCAGGCUAGUCUGGUAGUGGCGUGUCCGUCCGCAGGUGCCAGGCGAAUGUAAAGACGAACUAAGCAUGUAGUACCGAGGAUGUAGGAAUUUCGGACGCGGGUUCAACUCCCGCCAGCUCCACCA
rnacentral:tmRNA from 3 species